GUUCAGAGUUAAAGGGAGGGAUGCCCCAUUCCACAGGUUCAGGGUUAAAGGGAGGGAUGCCCCAUUCCACAGGUUCAGGGUUAAAGGGAGGGAUGCCCCAUUCCACAGGUUCAGGGUUAAAGGGAGGGAUGCCCCAUUCCACAGGUUCAGAGUUAAAGGGAGGGAUGCCCCAUUCCACAGGUUCAGAGUUAAAGGGAGGGAUGCCCCAUUCCACAGGUUCAGAGUUAAAGGGAGGGAUAAUCCAUUGUUUUCUUCUGAGCGGUCUCGUAUUAUUCACGACCGUAAUCUAGCCUGGGCUAAAGCAAGGAAAUCAUGUUCUGAUGCUGAUUGGCUUGUUUUUAGGCAGCCAAGAAACAGCAGGUCUUCUCUUCUCAGGAAGGCC
rnacentral:lncRNA from 1 species